rnacentral:rRNA from 1 species
UACGGGGGGGGCAAGCGUUGUUCGGAAUUACUGGGCGUAAAGGGCUCGUAGGUGGCCAACUAAGUCAGACGUGAAAUCCCCAGGCUCAACCUGGGAACUGCGUCUGAUACUGGAUGGCUUGAGAUUGGGAGAGGGAUGCGGAAUUCCAGGUGUAGCGGUGAAAUGCGUAGAUAUCUGGAGGAACACCGGUGGCGAAGGCGGCAUCCUGGACCAACACUGACACUGAGGAGCGAAAAGCGUGGGGGAGCAAAACAGGG